ACAAAAGCACUUUCCUAAACCCAUCAGAGCUGUCUGCACUCCCUGGCCUCAGUGCGUGUGGGUGGUGUGGCAGGCUGGGUUGGGGCUGCAGGGGCUGGGGGCUGAAGGUGGGUUGGGGCUGCUGGUGCCUCCAGCUGGCAGAUGGUUGCAGGGGACUGCAGGCUCCAGCUGGGAGGCAUUACCAGCUCCUGCUGCAUCUCCAGUGGAAAGCAGGACGAGUGGUGGAGGGGAAAUGAAAUGGUCAGCAGGGAUGGAGGGAGCACAGGGAGGAGCAGCCGCUCUCAAAAAGGAGUUUGUAGUGAUGGCAAAGCAGUGUGACUCCUUGAUCCUCUGGCUUCUCUUAGGGUAGCAGGAAUCCCCAAGCCAUAAAAAAUGUGGGUCUGGCUCCUGUUUGAUGCGAGGGGACCUCACACGUGAGCUUGUGGAGUAGUGUGUGUCCUGCCCGAGCCCACAGCAUCCUGCCUCUGUUCAGGAGCACCGUGGGUUUGCACGAUUUAAAAUUAACAUCUAGCUUGGGACAGCAUUUCACUUUCUCCAGGCAUCCUGCUCUAGCAGAUGUCUCCAGGCUCUGCGGUCAGAGCCACUUAAGAACUAAGAAAAGCCACAGGACGAUUUCCAGCGGGAAGCGCGGGCGGGAUGCGGAGAGGCUGCCCCUGCGCCCGUGCCCAGCGCGGUUCGGGGCGGCCCCGAGCACUUCCCUUGCCCUCCAGCAGGCUCGGGGGCUUUGCUGCUCCCUGCGCUUUCCCAGCGCUCAAAACGGUUUUGUAAAACUCGGGAACGAACUGCAACAGGGCAGCGCGUUCCCGUCCCGGCUGAGCCACGGUAAGAGCCGCCGUCCCCGUCGGGCAGAACACCCCGGCCAGGCUCGGGGACGCGCACCGGCUCCCCCGGGCUGCGCGCUCCCGGCUCGGGCGGCUCCAUCCCGUCCCCCGCGGCCGCCGAGCAUCCCGGGGCGGGGCGGGCUGGGCUGGGCUGCGCGGCGGGCGGGGGUGGCUCCGGGGCCGCCCCCAUCGCCCGCUUCCUCCCCCGGGCCCCGGCCGGAGCCCGUUGCCCUCCCUGCGGGCGGUAGCGGGGCCGCAUCCCGGGCGUGCGGUCCGGCUGCGCCGCGGGACGGGCCCGAGGGACGGCGGAGCAAGAGGUACCUGGGGACAUCACUUCGAGGUGCUCUGUGCCCGUGUCUGCAGCAGCCUUGGCUGGCAGAGGGUGACUUUGCCCCUCAGAGCAUCGUGAGUGACACUGUGAGAGCUGCCCACACACGUGAGCCUGCAGGUGGGGAAAUCUCGGCUUGGCCUUGGAGUGGGAGCUGUGUAGUGCCACCGCCUGAGAUGCUGAAGCACAGCCCGGGGAGCAGGUGACUCUGUGACAUCACGUGGGUUAAAUCAGGCUCUGACUGCAGGUGACUCUGAGUGAGAAGUGUUUAAGCCCUCCCUGUGCCACAGCCGCCUUCCCAAUCUGCUUCCGGCUGCCCGCUGGGGUCCCAGCUGCUCUCCUGAGCAGCAGGAGCCUUGUCCCAGCCCUUAGGGUGUCAGUCAGGGAGUCUUCCCUCUGCUUUGUCCCUGAAACCUGGCAGAUCCGAGCUUCUCUUUGUCAGGUGCCCUUGCUGGGGCAGCUUGCUCUGAAGCUGCUACAUGCUGAAUGUCCCUGGGAUGUCUGUAAGUACGCAAAGGACAAAGGGGAAAACAUAAUUUGAAAAGGUGUCUCUUCAUGGAAGUACUUGGGAAGGAUCCUUGCUGGUGUGCCGGUACCUCGUGCAGGAGACCAGACUGACCUGAGGGCACCUGGUAGCUCUGUUCAGUGGCUAAUGCAUCGUAGGAGGGGAGGUGGGAGAGCUUUAGGGAGCUGCUGGUCAGCUCCACAUACAGGGUGUUUCCUGAGGUUAAUAACUGUGGUGUGAAAUGUGUCGAAUUUCUGUGGGCCCUUCCAGGGAGUCUGGAUGCCCAGAGUUGUUCUCUUCAUUCACAAAGAAGAGAUGAGAUGUAGGUUUCUGAUGGAGGAGGAGCAAACCUGCUGUGCAGGUCUGGCAGGGAUCUGCCAUGGCUGGGAUGUAGCAGCUUGUCCUGGUGCCUGCUUUGAAGAGGCAGGGAGGGGAGGGCUGUCCCACACACCGGUCCUGCACCCCGGGUUAUUGUUCCAGGCUGCAGGGUGAUGUUUCUCCAUGGUCUCAGUCCAGAUUACUUCCCAGGGAACAGCCUCUGGAUAUGCGGGUGUUGGCUUGGGUUUCCUCCUAUGCAAAUGAGUUUAUAGGAAUGUACUAAGCUCCUCUGCAAAACAGCUUGAGUGCUAAUGAAAGACAUCACUGUGUAAGAAAAAAAUAUUGUUAGCACAUUACUACCAUCGUUAAUGAGGUCAGAUCAUUGCCUUGGAACAAAAUUAGUUUGUUUUGCUCUAAUCAGUUUUAGUAGCUAGAGUGCCCAGUAAUUACUUGUGUCCUUGUGAAAGGGAUGGGACAGCAUGACUAGAGCUGCUGGCAGACUGCUCUGACUCUGAAAUGAAUUGUGCAGAUGAUUUUUGAGAGGGCAUCUUUCCAGCUGCACAGUGCCCCUGGAGUGAUGCUGGCAGAGCCCAGCUUCAGUCAGGAAUGGCCAUGGUCCACAGCACGGCUCCUCUGGAAAGAGUGUCCUGAGGGGAUUCAGAGAGGCAUUAGCAGCAGGAACACUGGACUGUGCUGUUGUCUUCAUGUUUAUGAUCCUAAUUUGACUUGCAGCAUGUAAAUCUCUCUCUGAACUCUUCCUUUCUGUAGUCUAUGCAAAUUUUCAAGACCCCAGGAGCUCUCAAAUACAGCUGCUCUCUAAACCAGAAGAUUCACUCCUGGGUAUUUGUACAUCUAGAAUCUUCUCUUUAUUUUUUGUUUUGUUUUUCCUGAUGUCAUUGGUGUGUUCCUGAAAAGAUGGCCUGUGGCCACCCGGAUGAAUGGGCAGGGUGCUGAGAGCUACUGCAGUGGUAGGGCCCUGGCUCAGGAAGAAUGAUUGUCAGCAGGUUGUGCUUUCC
rnacentral:lncRNA from 1 species